rnacentral:rRNA from 1 species
GAUGAACGCUGGCGGCGUGCCUAAUACAUGCAAGUCGAGCGAACGGACGAGAAGCUUGCUUUUCUGAUGUUAGCGGCGGACGGGUGAGUAACACGUGGAUAACCUACCUAUAAGACUGGGAUAACUUCGGGAAACCGGAGCUAAUACCGGAUAAUAUUUUGAACCGCAUGGUUCAAAAGUGAAAGACGGUCUUGCUGUCACUUAUAGCUGGAUCCGCGCUGCAUUAGAUAGUUGUUAAGGUAACGGCUUACCAAGGCAACGAUGCAUAGCCGACCUGAGAGGGUGAUCGGCCACACGGGAGCUGAGACACGGUCCAGACUCCUACGGGAGGCAGCAGUAGGGAAUCUUCCGCAAUGGGCGAAAGCCUGACGGAGCAACGCCGCGUGAGUGAUGAAGGUCUUCGGAUCGUAAAACUCUGUUAUGAGGGAAGAACAUAUGUGUAAGUAACUGUGCACAUCUUGACGGUACCUAAUCAGAAAGCAACGGCUAACUACGUG